AGAGUUUGAUCAUGGCUCAGGACGAACGCUGGCGGCGCGCUUAACACAUGCAAGUCGAGCGAUAACCAUGGCUUCGGCCAUGGGGACAGCGGCGAACGGGUGAGUAACACGUGGGUAAUCUGCCCUCGGCACUGGGAUAGCCCGGGGAAACCCGGAUUAAUACCGGAUGGCCUCUCGAGCUUUCGGGCUCGUGAGAAAAGGUAGCUUCGGCCUCCGGCCGAGGAGGAGCCCGCGGCGGAUUAGCUUGUUGGUGGGGUAAUGGCCCACCAAGGCGACGAUCCGUAGCUGGUGUGAGAGCAUGACCAGCCACACUGGGACUGAGACACGGCCCAGACUCCUACGGGAGGCAGCAGUGGGGAAUCUUGCGCAAUGGGCGAAAGCCUGACGCAGCGACGCCGCGUGCGGGAAGAAGGCCUUCGGGUUGUAAACCGCUUUCAGGAGGGACGAAGCCACUCGGGUUAAUAGCCCAGAGGGUGACGGUACCUCCAGAAGAAGCCCCGGCUAACUACGUGCCAGCAGCCGCGGUA
rnacentral:rRNA from 1 species